GGGAAUGUAGCUUAGUGGUAGAGUGCUUGCUUAGCAUACAUGAAGCCUGGGUUCGAUUCCUCAGUACCA
rnacentral:tRNA from 1 species